rnacentral:rRNA from 1 species
UGGGGAAUUUUGGACAAUGGGCGAAAGCCUGAUCCAGCAAUGCCGCGUGUGUGAAGAAGGCCUUCGGGUUGUAAAGCACUUUUGUCCGGAAAGAAAUCCUUGGCUCUAAUACAGUCGGGGGAUGACGGUACCGGAAGAAUAAGCACCGGCUAACUACGUGCCAGCAGCCGCGGUAAUACGUAGGGUGCAAGCGUUAAUCGGAAUUACUGGGCGUAAAGCGUGCGCAGGCGGUUUGCUAAGACCGAUGUGAAAUCCCCGGGCUCAACCUGGGAACUGCAUUGGUGACUGGCAGGCUAGAGUAUGGCAGAGGGGGGUAGAAUUCCACGUGUAGCAGUGAAAUGCGUAGAGAUGUGGAGGAAUACCGAUGGCGAAGGCAGCCCCCCUGGGCCAAUACUGACGCUCAUGCACGAAAGCGUGGGGAGCAAACAGGAUUAGAUACCCUGGUAGUCCACGCCCUAAACGAUGUCAACUAGUUGUUGGGGAUUCAUUUCCUAGUAACGUAGCUAACGCGUGAAGUUGACCGCCUGGGGGAGUACGGUCGCAAGAUUAAAACUCAAA